AGUGAACGCUGGCGGCAGGCUUUACACAUGCAAGUCGAACGGUAACAGGCCUUCGGCUUCUUACUACUGGCGGAGGGUGGCGUAAUGCAGCGGAACGUGCCCAGAUGUGGUGUUUAGCGCGGGAAAACGUGGGGAAAUACACCCUAUUACCGCAUAAGAAAUACGGGGGACAGCAGGGGAUCUUUGGACCUCGCGCGUUUGAAUGGGCCGAUGUCGGAUUAGCUAGUUGGUGGGGUAAAGGCCUACCAAGCCGACGAUCUGUAGCUGGUCUGAGAGGAUGACCAGCCACACUGGAACUGAGACACGGCCCAGACUCCUACGGGAGGCAGCAGUGGGGAAUUUUGGACAAUGGGCGCAAGCCUGAUCCAGCAAUGCCGCGUGCGGGAAGAAGGCCUUCGGGUUGUAAACCGCUUUUGUACGGAAAGAAAAGGAUCUGGCUAAUACCUCGCGCUGAUGACGGUACCGAAAGAAUAAGCACCGGCUAACUACGUG
rnacentral:rRNA from 1 species